GUUUUAUUUAAAAGACUAUGGACUGGCGAAAUAUAUUUUAGGCAUUGACAUUGUCAAAAAUGAGUAUGCCACGAAACUGUCACAACAAAAAUAUAUUAAUGAUUUGAUGAUAAAAUUCGGCAUGGAGAAUUGUAAAGAAACAGUGACCACGCCGAUGGAGCAGGAACUCGUCCGGAUAUCACACACGCCGUGACAAGAUUAGCAGCGUUUUGUGAUAAUCCUGGACAGAUACAGUGGAAUGCGGUGAAAAGAUUACUUCGUUAUCUUAAGAGGACAGCCGAUUAUGGACUGAUUUAUCGAAAAACAG